AAGUCGUAACAAGGUCUCCGUUGGUGAACCAGCGGAGGGAUCAUUACAGAGUUAUCUAACUCCCAAACCCAUGUGAACUUACUAUUGUUGCCUCGGCAGAACCUACCCGGUACCUACUCUGGAGCGGCUACCCUGUAGCUACGCUGGAACGGUUACCCUGUAACGUUUUGCCGGUGGACCUUUAAACUAUUGUUAUUUUAUUGUUAUCUGAGCGUCUUAUUUUAAUAAGUCAAAACUUUCAACAACGGAUCUCUUGGUUCUGGCAUCGAUGAAGAACGCAGCGAAAUGCGAUACGUAAUGUGAAUUGCAGAAUUCAGUGAAUCAUCGAAUCUUUGAACGCACAUUGCGCCCAUUAGUACUCUAGUGGGCAUGCCUGUUCGAGCGUCAUUUCAACCCUUAAGCCUAGCUUAGUAUUGGGACUUUACUUUCGAGUAAUUCCCCAAAUCCAACGGCGGAUCUGUGGUAUCCUCUGAGCGUAGUAAUUUUUAUCUCGCCUUUGUUAGGUGCUGCAGCUCCCAGCCGCUAAACCCCCAAUUUUUUAAUGGUUGACCUCGGAUCAGGUAGGAAUACCCGCUGAACUUAAGCAUAUCAAUAAGCGGAGGAAAAGAAACCAACAGGGAUUGCCCUAGUAACGGCGAGUGAAGCGGCAACAGCUCAAAUUUGAAAUCUGGCCCUUGGGUCCGAAUUGUAAUUUGUAGAGGAUGUUUUUGGUGCGGUAUCUUCCGAGUUCCUUGGAACAGGACGCCUUAGAGGGUGAGAGCCCCGUACGGUUGAAUGCCUAGCCUUUGUAAAACUCCUUCGACGAGUCGAGUAGUUUGGGAAUGCUGCUCUAAAUGGGAGGUAAAUUUCUUCUAAAGCUAAAUACUGGCCAGAGACCGAUAGCGCACAAGUAGAGUGAUCGAAAGAUGAAAAGCACUUUGAAAAGAGGGUUAAAUAGCACGUGAAAUUGUUGAAAGGGAAGGAUUUAUGACCAGACUUUUUCUAGGCGAAUCAUCCGGUAUUCUCACCGGUGCACUUUGUUUAGUUUAGGCCAGCAUCGAUUUUCGGAGUGGGAUAAAAGCUUUAGGAAUGUGGCUCCUUCGGGAGUGUUAUAGCCUAUUGUAUAAUACCAUUCUGGGGAUCGAGGUACGCGCUUCUGCAAGGAUGCUGGCGUAAUGGUUAUCAAUCACC
rnacentral:rRNA from 1 species